rnacentral:rRNA from 1 species
AGUGAACGCUGGCGGUAGGCCUAACACAUGCAAGUCGAACGGCAGCACAGUAAGAGCUUGCUCUUACGGGUGGCGAGUGGCGGACGGGUGAGGAAUACAUCGGAAUCUACUUUUUCGUGGGGGAUAACGUAGGGAAACUUACGCUAAUACCGCAUACGACCUACGGGUGAAAGCAGGGGAUCUUCGGACCUUGCGCGAUUGAAUGAGCCGAUGUCGGAUUAGCUAGUUGGCGGGGUAAAGGCCCACCAAGGCGACGAUCCGUAGCUGGUCUGAGAGGAUGAUCCGCCACACUGGAACUGAGACACGGUCCAGACUCCUACGGGAGGCGGCAGUGGGGAAUAUUGGACAAUGGGCGCAAGCCUGAUCCAGCCAUACCGCGUGGGUGAAGAAGGUCUUCGGGUUGUAAAGCCCUUUUGUUGGGAAAGAAAAGCAGCAGGUUAAUACCCCGCUGUUCUGACGGUACCCAAAGAAUAAGCACCGGCUAACUUCGUG